UACGGAGGGUGCAAGCGUUAUCCGGAUUCACUGGGUUUAAAGGGCGCGUAGGCGGGUCUGUAAGUCAGCGGUGAAAUCUCCGGGCUUAACCCGGAAACUGCCAUUGAUACUAUAGGUCUUGAAUUAUCUGGAGGUGAGCGGAAUAUGUCAUGUAGCGGUGAAAUGCUUAGAUAUGACAUAGAACACCAAUUGCGAAGGCAGCUCACUACGGAUAUAUUGACACUGAGGCACGAAAGCGUGGGGAUCAAACAGG
rnacentral:rRNA from 1 species